UUUUUUUUUUUGUUUUCUUCUCUGUCAGAUUGAACGCUGGCGGCAGGCUUAACACAUGCAAGUCGAGCGGAGUGAUGGUGCUUGCACUAUCACUUAGCGGCGGACGGGUGAGUAAUGCUUAGGAAUCUGCCUAUUAGUGGGGGACAACAUUUCGAAAGGAAUGCUAAUACCGCAUACGUCCUACGGGAGAAAGCAGGGGAUCUUCGGACCUUGCGCUAAUAGAUGAGCCUAAGUCGGAUUAGCUAGUUGGUGGGGUAAAGGCCUACCAAGGCGACGAUCUGUAGCGGGUCUGAGAGGAUGAUCCGCCACACUGGGACUGAGACACGGCCCAGACUCCUACGGGAGGCAGCAGUGGGGAAUAUUGGACAAUGGGCGCAAGCCUGAUCCAGCCAUGCCGCGUGUGUGAAGAAGGCCUUAUGGUUGUAAAGCACUUUAAGCGAGGAGGAGGCUACUUUAGUUAAUACCUAGAGAUAGUGGACGUUACUCGCAGAAUAAGCACCGGCUAACUCUGUGCCAGCAGCCGCGGUAAUACAGAGGGUGCAAGCGUUAAUCGGAUUUACUGGGCGUAAAGCGCGCGUAGGCGGCUAAUUAAGUCAAAUGUGAAAUCCCCGAGCUUAACUUGGGAAUUGCAUUCGAUACUGGUUAGCUAGAGUGUGGGAGAGGAUGGUAGAAUUCCAGGUGUAGCGGUGAAAUGCGUAGAGAUCUGGAGGAAUACCGAUGGCGAAGGCAGCCAUCUGGCCUAACACUGACGCUGAGGUGCGAAAGCAUGGGGAGCAAACAGGAUUAGAUACCCUGGUAGUCCAUGCCGUAAACGAUGUCUACUAGCCGUUGGGGCCUUUGAGGCUUUAGUGGCGCAGCUAACGCGAUAAGUAGACCGCAUGGAGACGACGGUU
rnacentral:rRNA from 1 species